rnacentral:lncRNA from 1 species
GAAGGGAGAUUCUCAGCAAUCUUCCCCUUCCAACAACAUCUUCCCUAAGGAAUCACGCAUGCAAUUCUCAGUUGGAACACUCCCUUCCACACAAACACCUGAGGCCUCGGGUCUGCAUCUUCCACCCAAGAACAGAAGCCCCAUUUUGGUGACAGUUGUACACUCAGACACCAGGCAGCAGAAUCAUCAUCACAGAAGAAGCUACUCACACAGCAGUCUGGACAGUGCUGCUGCUUUUUGGAAGGAAAAAUGUAGCCAAAGUAGAAAUCUUAAAAAUUCUGAAAGAAGUCAGACUGUUCCAUUCCACCUCAAUAAACUGAAAUACAACAGUACUUUUAAAGAAUCUAGAAAUGAUAUUUCACUUAUUCUAAAUGAAUAUGCUGAAUUUAAUAAGGUAAUGAUGAAUAGCAACCAAAUUGUUUCCCAAGAAAAAGAGUUAAAUGCAGCUUCUGCAGAAGCUGUGUCCCAGGAGACAUACCAGCCAAGACAGUCGGUAUCCUACAGAGAUGUGAUUACAGACUUGUGUGCCACUCUGCAUGUCAAACUAAAAGGAGUUAUGAGAGAGGCUUGUAAGAGCCCUUUCUGGUUCUACCUCGUUGAAACAGAAGAUAAGUCAUUCUUUUUAAGAACAAAGAGCAUUCUAAAGAAAGGAGGCCAUACAGAAGUUGAACUUCUGGAUUUCUGUCAAGCUUUUCACAGAGAAAAUGAGACACUAUUAGUUAUUAUCAAAAAUGAAGACAUGAUAGCACAUUUACAUCAAAUUCCUUCUCUACUGAAGCUAAAGCACUUCCCCAGUGUCAUCUUUGCUGGAGUGGACAGCCCUGAAGACAUUCUGAAUGACACCUACCAAGAGCUGUUUCGGUCAGGCGGCUUUGUGGUAUCAGAUGAUCAUGUACUAGAAAGUUUAUCUUUAGUUCAACUGAAGGAGGUGCUCAAAACCCUAGAAAAACUAAAUGAAAACAGCAGGUGGAAGUGGCUGCUUCACUACAGAGAGAACAAAAAGCUCAAGGAAGAUGUCAGGGUAGAUUCAAUAGCACAUAAAAAGAACUUAAUUCUAAAGUCAUAUCAGAGUGUAAACAUCAUUGACUUACUUCAUUAUCACAACUGUGAUUCUCCAUCAUCAACAAAAGCUGAGAUUUUGAAAUGCUUGUUAAACCUGCAAAUUCAACAUAUCAGUGCCAGGUUUGCUGUCUUCCUAACAGACAAGCCUGCGGUCUCUACAGAAAUCUUUGAAAAUCAUGGCAUCCUCGUUACAGAUGUAAACUACUUCACUGAAAAUAUACAAAAGAUAGCAGCUCCAUUUAGGAGUAGCUAUUGGUGAUUUUGGAGUUGAGACUAGAUAUGGAGUACAACAACAAGAAAGUCAUGUUUUCCUGUGUCUGAAAAACUCCAAAUACAUACAGACAGCUCUCAGUGAAUAAUCAAUGUUUCGUUUCUCCUACUUCGCUGUAAUGUCUCAUUUCAUCAUGGAGGGUAGUCGCCAUUAACUUUGGGUUAUAAUGUUGAAUAUUGUAAGUUACUUUUAACCUAAACUUAAUGCGCUCAAAACUACUGAGCUAAAUAUCAAAACUCAAGAACCUCACGUUUAUGUGGCUACAGCUAAAUCUAUUUUGACAAAUGGCUGUUUUUGCGUGUGGUCAGAGGCUUAUGAACCGCAUGUUUCAGAGGUUUUGCCACACUGUAGAACGUAUAGUCUGUAAUGGUUGUUUGCUGUUACAUAAGAAACACUACAUAGUAAAGACUUUUUUUUUCAUAAAUGACAAAUUUCUACACUUUUACACUUGGUUUUUUAAUGCAGCACUACAAAAAAAAAAUCAAUUGAGGAAGAAAUCCUUUAUUUAUGGUAUUAGAAAUUUCUUAAAUCUUUAAAAUACAAACAAGAAAAAAACCAUUUGUAUACUAUCUAUUUGGAACAAAGGCUUUUAUACCUAGUUUGGGUUUUUUUGUUGUUGUUUUGUCUUUUUUUAAAUAAAGACAUUAAAAAAAGCA